rnacentral:rRNA from 1 species
UACGUAGGGGGCAAGCGUUGUUCGGAAUUACUGGGCGUAAAGGGCGCGUAGGCGGCCUUCUAAGUCGAACGUGAAAUCCCCGGGCUCAACCCGGGAACUGCGUCCGAUACUGGAAGGCUUGAAUCCGGGAGAGGGAUGUGGAAUUCCAGGUGUAGCGGUGAAAUGCGUAGAUAUCUGGAGGAACACCAGUGGCGAAAGCGGCUACCUGGCCCAUUCUUGACGCUGAGGCGCGAAAGCUAGGGGAGCAAACGGG